CCUGAUUGAUCCAUCAAUUCCUACUACAGGUGUAUAGAUUCUAAUCGUCAAGCUAUUGACGUUAAACAAGCGCUGCGUGGGAGGCAACCCAUGGUUUUCUUUCAUUUUACUUUUUCGCAUUUAUUUAUUUUUAUUUUUAUUUUAUUUUAUCAUAUUUUGCAUUGAGACUAAGAUUUGAAUGGUUUGUAUUUUCAGGAUCACUUUCUUAACUUUUACAGGAUGCAGAAUUUUGAUGACAUGCAUGUGGCCUAUAGAGAUAAUGCUCAGAGGGAGCGCUACAUCGCUUUGUAUCAGCGUCCUAUGGCACCUACACAUUAUCCUGAUCAGCAGUGUAUGGAGGCACUGGGUAUCGAGCCUAG
rnacentral:lncRNA from 1 species